rnacentral:rRNA from 1 species
AAGUCGUAACAAGGUUUCCGUAGGUGAACCUGCGGAAGGAUCAUUACUGAGUUAGGGUCCACCAAGGCCCGAACCUCCAACCCUUGUGUUUAAUUAUACCAUGUUGCUUCGGCGGGCCCGCUCCCUAGGGGGCCGCCGGACUGUUUGACCACAGUCUGGCCCGUGCCCGUCGAUAGCCCAACUUCAAACUCUUGCUAAAUUGUGUCGUCUGAGUAAAACAAACAAAAUUAAAAUUAAAACUUUCAACAACGGAUCUCUUGGUUCUGGCAUCGAUGAAGAACGCAGCGAAAUGCGAUAAGUAAUGCGAAUUGCAGAAUUUCAGUGAGUCAUCGAAUCUUUGAACGCACAUUGCGCCCCUUGGUAUUCCGGGGGGCAUGCCUGUUCGAGCGUCAUUAUCACCCCUCAAGCCUGGCUUGGUGUUGGACCUCUGGCCCUUAACAGGUCCGGUCCCAAAGAUAAUGACGGUGCCUAUGAGGCCCUUGGUGCAACGAGCUUUCACGAGCACGCACUUAGCGGUUUUCAUAGACCCGGUCGUUUACCUAAACUUUUUACAAGGUUGACCUCGGAUCAGGUAGGAAUACCCGCUGAACUUA